UCCGGUAUCAGACCCUCAAGUGGAGUGAAUGCAGCCUGUAACUCAGAGUGGCAGGUUGUCUUCUCUGAACCGGUGUCAAGUGCUACUUUCUCCACAACCCUAAGCUGUAGGCACUCGGCAGCCCCAGAAUCUGCAGGCUUAGCCCUGCCAUCUGGAGAGCAGUCCCUGCUGCUGCUCAGGAGGACCAUGCAGCCCAAGGUGAGCCUGGACUCCCUCACAAUCUCUGCACUGUCAGAGUCCCCUAAGCUCUGCCAGGUCUCGCUAGUCAGAAUGCAGCAUGUCUGUCUCCAUGUUCCGAAUUGCAUCCAGUCCACCCGCAGGGCCUGGAGCCCUGCCCAGAGGUCCAGGUGGAAGGACUGAUGCUCUGUGCAGUCCUGCCCAGACCCCUUCUCAGGAGGUGAGACUCUGUCCUACACAUCCAGCAAGAGGCUAAACAGAUCAGGCGGAAUGUGAAUGUCAUUGCCUCAGGCGGAACGAGAAUUGUCAUUGCCUGCAGGUACUGGAAACUGCUACCAUUGCCCAGGCUACCGGAAUAGAUUUUCACCUUCGAAAGUGACCCUGGCCUGGAUCCUGCUGCUUCUGCCACACCUAUUUCCAGUUUCCUCUUCCUCCUGGCCUCCUUCUGAAGUCCCAAAACGAUGUCCUGCCAAGUCACACAGGUGAAGAUAUAGGUUUAGAAAGGGGAUAUAACUUUCCAUGGUCAAAAGCAAAUAAACUGGACAUCUCAGCCAGCCCAUCUGCUUGGAGCCCUCUGCCUUAAAGCCACAUCACUCUCUGAGAUGAAACACCAGCCAGACACAGUGAAGACAGGAGCAAGCUCCAGGUUUACAAGUGAUAGGAUUCCUGUGGAUUUCUAAUUCAGGUUGAAAAUCCAUGAAAUUUAGAAUAAUAUGGGGAUAGUUUACAGACAUGUGAAGUUCUCCUUUUACUGUGUAUGCUUUACUUACAAUGCAAUACAUAGUAUUUCCAUUGAGACAUCAGCAAACAUCCUUAGCCCUGUUUGCUUUUCAUGCAAACUAACAUUACAGUAUGAUACAAAGAAAACUGUUUCUUCUUAAGACAUUUACAACGUGAUCGGGUUUAUUUAAAUAAAGUCCAUUAUAUAC